UGGGGAAUAUUGGACAAUGGGCGAAAGCCUGAUCCAGCCAUGCCGCGUGUGUGAAGAAGGUCUUCGGAUUGUAAAGCACUUUAAGUUGGGAGGAAGGGCAGUUACCUAAUACGUGAUUGUUUUGACGUUACCGACAGAAUAAGCACCGGCUAACUCUGUGCCAGCAGCCGCGGUAAUACAGAGGGUGCAAGCGUUAAUCGGAAUUACUGGGCGUAAAGCGCGCGUAGGUGGUUUGUUAAGUUGGAUGGGAAAUCCCCGGGCUCAACCUGGGAACUGCAUUCAAAACUGACUGACUAGAGUAUGGUAGAGUGUGGUGGAAUUUCCUGUGUAGCGGUGAAAUGCGUAGAUAUAGGAAGGAACACCAGUGGCGAAGGCGACCACCUGGACUAAUACUGACACUGAGGUGCGAAAGCGUGGGGAGCAAACA
rnacentral:rRNA from 1 species